CGGCGUAAAGAGUGGUUAUGGAGUUUUUUUACUAAAGUGGAAGACCCCUCAAACUGUUAUACGCACCCGGGGGUUAGAACCCCUUACACGAAAGUAGCUUUAUUAGUGUCCACCAGAACCCACGAAAGCCAGGGUACAAACUGGGAUUAGAUACCCCACUAUGCCUGGCCAUAAACUUAGAUGAUUCUAUACAAUUAACAUCCGCCAGGGGACUACGAGCAUCAGCUUAAAACCCAAAGGACUUGGCGGUGCCUCAGACCCCCCUAGAGGAGCCUGUUCUAGAACCGAUAACCCCCGUUCAACCUCACCACUCCUUGCCCUUUCCGCCUAUAUACCACCGUCGCCAGCUUACCCUGUGAAGGUAAAAGUAAGCAAAAUGAAGAAUUUUCAGAACGUCAGGUCGAGGUGUAGCAUACGGAGUGGGAAGAAAUGGGCUACAUUGCCUAACCUAGGCAACCAACGGAAAAUCGCCUGAAAGAGCUGUUUGAAGGUGGAUUUAGCAGUAAAAGGGGAAUAGAGUGCCCCUUUGAAGCCGGCUCUGAGGCGCGCACACACCGCCCGUCACUCUCCCCAACAAAAUUUUUUCUAGUAAUUAACUCUAUUCUAUAAAAAAGGGGAGGCAAGUCGUAACAUGGUAAGUGUACCG
rnacentral:rRNA from 1 species